UCCCUGGUGGUCCAGUGGCUAAGACUCUGCACUCCCAAUGCAGGGGUCUGGCUUCAAUCCCUGGUCAGGGAA
rnacentral:tRNA from 1 species